CGAGAGCGGUAGGAAACGCCGGCCGCGGGUUGCUAGCCUUGGGCCUUAAGUGAGAAGUUUGCGACGUAACGACGAGAGCGCGGUUCGGGGUCUUCGGAUUGGCCUUCUCCGCCAUUGCGGUAGCAGCCACUUGCCUACUCUGAGACGAAUGAGGACUCAACAGAACUCAAAGCAAGAUGAAGUUCCUUCUGUACAUUGUCUUUGCUGUUAGAUGGAAUUUUCUUGUAACAAUUUAAUUAAAUACGUGUGGUGGUUUAUGA